rnacentral:rRNA from 1 species
AUUCCAGCUCCAAUAGCGUAUAUUAAAGUUGUUGCGGUUAAAAAGCUCGUAGUUGGAUUUCUGCCGAGGAUGACCGGUCCGCCCUGUGGGUGUGCAUCUGGCUCAGCCUUGGCAUCUUCCUGAAGAACGUAGCUGCACUUGACUGUGUGGUGCGGUAUUUAGGACAUUUACUUUGAGGAAAUUAGAGUGUUUCAAGCAAGCGCACGCUUUGAAUACAUUAGCAUGGAAUAAUAAGAUAGGACCUUGGUUCUAUUCUGUUGGUUUCUAGUACUGAAGUAAUGAUUGAUCGGGAUAGUUGGGGGUGCUAGUAUUGGGCGGCCAGAGGUGAAAUUCUUGGAUUCGCUCAAUACUAACUUAUGCGAAAGCAUUCACCAAGGAUGUCUUCAUCA